GGAGAGGGAAAGGAGAGGGAAACAACCCAGACCGCCAGCUAAGGUCCCCAAGYUAUCGCUAAGUGGGAAACGAUGUGGGAAGGCUCAGACAGCCAGGAUGUUGGCUUAGAAGCAGCCAUCAUUUAAAGAAAGCGUAAUAGCUCACUGGUCGAGUCGGCCUGCGCGGAAGAUGUAACGGGGCUAAGCGAUACACCGAAGCUGCGGCAAUGUCCUUAUGGAUAUUGGGUAGGGGAGCGUUGUGUAAGCUGUUGAAGGUGWGCUGAGAGGCWUGCUGGAGGUAUCACAAGUGCGAAUGCUGACAUGAGUAACGAUAAAGGGGGUGAAAAACCUCCUCGCCGGAAGACCAAGGGUUCCUGUCCAACGUUAAUCGGGGCAGGGUAAGUCGGCCCCUAAGGCGAGGCCGAAAGGCGUAGUCGAUGGGAAACGGGUUAAUAUUCCCGUACUGCURCUUACUGCGAUGGGGGGACGGAGAAGGCUAGGUGGGCCUGGCGAUGGUUGUCCAGGUUCAAGUGCGUAGGCUGAUUUCUUAGGCAAAUCCGGGAAAUCAAGGCCGAGACACGAUGUCGAGCCACCAAGGUGGUGAAGYCAUUGAUGCCAUGCUUCCGGGAAAAGCCUCUAAGCUUCAGGUAAGUAGGAACCGUACUCCAAACCGACACAGGUGGUCGGGUAGAGAAUACCAAGGCGCUUGAGAGAACUCGGGUGAAGGAACUAGGCAAAAUGGUACCGUAACUUCGGGAGAAGGUACGCUGCCCACGGCCGAUGUCGAGCCACCAAGGUGGUGAAGUCAUUGAUGCCAUGCUUCCGGGAAAAGCCUCUAAGCUUCAGGUAAGUAGGAACCGUACUCCAAACCGACACAGGUGGUCGGGUAGAGAAUACCAAGGCGCUUGAGAGAACUCGGGUGAAGGAACUAGGCAAAAUGGUACCGUAACUUCGGGAGAAGGUACGCUGCCCRCGGUGAAGUCCCUWGCGGAUGGAGCUAUGGGCAGUCGCAGAUACCAGGUGGCUGCAACUGUUUAUUAAAAACACAGCACUGUGCAAAAUCGAAAGAUGACGUAUACGGUGUGACGCCUGCCCGGUGCCGGAAGGUUAAUUGAUGUGGUUAUCGCAAGAGAAGCCAUUGAUYGAAGCCCCGGUAAACGGCGGCCGUAACUAUAACGGUCCUAAGGUAGCGAAAUUCCUUGUCGGGUAAGUUCCGACCUGCACGAAUGGCGUAAUGAUGGCCACGCUGUCUCCACCCGAGACUCAGUGAAAUUGAAAUCGCAGUGAAGAUGCUGUGUACCCGCGGCUAGACGGAAAGACCCCGUGAACCUUUACUACAGCUUGGCACUGAACAUUGAGCCUACAUGUGUAGGAUAGGUGGGAGGCUUUGAAGCGGCGACGCCAGUUGCUGUGGAGCCAUCCUUGAAAUACCACCCUUGUAUGUUUGAUGUUCUAACUUAGCCCCRUUAUCYGGGGUGAGGACAGUGCCUGGUGGGUAGUUUGACUGGGGCGGUCUCCUCCCAAAGUGUAACGGAGGAGYACGAAGGUGGGCUAAUCACGGUCGGACAUCGUGAGGUUAGUGCAAUGGCAUAAGCCCGCUUAACUGCGAGAGUGACGGCUCGAGCAGGUACGAAAGUAGGUCAUAGUGAUCCGGUGGUUCUGAAUGGAAGGGCCAUCGCUCAACGGAUAAAAGGUACUCCGGGGAUAACAGGCUGAUACCGCCCAAGAGUUCAUAUCGACGGCGGUGUUUGGCACCUCGAUGUCGGCUCAUCACAUCCUGGGGCUGAAGUCGGUCCCAAGGGUAUGGCUGUUCGCCAUUUAAAGUGGUACGCGAGCUGGGUUUAGAACGUCGUGAGACAGUUCGGUCCCUAUCUGCCGUGGGCGUUGGAUGAUUGAGGGGAGCUGCUCCUAGUACGAGAGGACCGGAGUGGACGAACCGCUGGUGUUCGGGUUGUGUCGCCAGACGCAUUGCCCGGUAGCUAAGUUCGGCACAGAUAAGCGCUGAAAGCAUCUAAGCGCGAAGCUGGCCCCGAGAUGAGUCAUCCCUAGAGCUCAGAAUAAGCCAGUUGAUUGUGGCGAGAACGAAACAGCUUUCUAGAUACGUGUUUUGACUGAAAAGUGAAGACACACCAAAUUUUGCUUGGCGACCAUAGCGCU
rnacentral:rRNA from 1 species